rnacentral:misc_RNA from 1 species
GAAUAAACUAGGUGGGUUGUUGCUGGCUUCUAGGAGCAUGUGCACACCUACCAUUGUUUCAUUCUUUCUCCACCUGUGCACCUUUUGUAGACUUGGAUAUCUCUCAAGGAUUUGAUUUACAUCAGUCCUUGGAUUGUUAAGAAUUGUGUUGAUACAACACUUUCCUUUGCAUUUCUAGUCUAUGUUUUAUAUAUACAUCUACACCCCAUUAGUAUGUUUCAGAAUGUUUAUACUUGGCCUUUAUUUUAUAUUGGCUAUAAAAACUUAUACAACUUUCAACAACGGAUCUCUUGGCUCU